GACGAACGCUGGCGGCGUGCUUAACACAUGCAAGUCGAACGGAAAGGCCUCAGCUUGCUGGGGUGCUCGAGUGGCGAACGGGUGAGUAACACGUGGGUGAUCUGCCUUGCACUCUGGGAUAAGCUUGGGAAACUGGGUCUAAUACCGGAUAUGAACUGCCUUUAGUGUGGUGGUUGGAGAGUUUUUUCGGUGCAAGAUUAGCUCGCGGCCUAUCAGCUUGUUGGUGGGGUAAUGGCCUACCAAGGCGUCGACGGGUAGCCGGCCUGAGAGGGUGUACGGCCAAAUUUGGACUGGGAUACGGCCCAGACUCCUACGGGAGGGAGCAGUGGGGAAUAUUGCAAAAUGGGCGGAAGCCUGAUGCAGCGACGCCGCGUGGGGGAUGACGGGCUUCGGGUUGUAAACUCCUUUCGACAGGGACGAAGCUUUUUGUGACGGUACCUGUAGAAGAAGCACCGGCUAACUACGUG
rnacentral:rRNA from 1 species